CCCAGUUGCCAUGGGCAGUUCUGAUCCCGGAAACUGAAGGUACAGUUUCAACAAUAUCACUUUGAAUUUAAUAUCCACAAGCAGACUCACUUGAGUUUCUACUUUUUUGUAGUGAAAAAGAAUCCAAAGAGUAAGAUGCAUUAAUACAAAGGUAUUCAGACAUAGGGUGUGCUGUGAAAGAAGGCUCAGAGAGAGACCCAAGAGUCAACAGAGAGGUGUUGACAGGUGACAUGGGAACUGCAGAAGGUGAACAUUAGAAAAAUGAGAAACCACAGGGAAAUGCCUGAAAAGAUGUAAAAACAGACAUGCAAUCCCCAUACAUGGCUAUUUGACAUGGGGCUUCUUUGAUGUUGUUAAAGUCCUGGUAAUUCCAUGUCAUAGAUGUUUUGAAGUGUGGGGAGGAAAUGAGACCUGGCCUAUUGGGUUAGACAUUGAGAUUGUGUUCAUCAUCUUUCCAGAAGCUCUUGCCCACAUCUUUACUCCUGGCAGCUGCUGGGAUUUCAUUGUAGGAGUCAAUUUCAUCUUAGAAGCUUGUUUUCAUUUUGUUAGUGAUUGGUAUGCAGAUGGAUCUGAGACUCUGUGUCACCAAUGGGCUACAAGGUGUGAUGAUUAGUAUUAGUUGUCAGUUUGAUUGGGCUGGUAGGAAGUUAGUGGAGCAUACCUCUGGGUGUUUCUGUGACUUUGUUUCCAGAGAUGAUUAUAUCAUGAGGGCUCUGACCUAGUCAAUGCAUAAUCCUUUUAUUGACUCAUAAGAUGGUGGCAUUAUAGGAGGCAGGGCCUUUGGAAGAAGUCGGUCAGUGGAUGUGUCUUUAUGCUGUGGUCCCCCUUCUCCACCCUUGGCUGCUUUGGUGUGAGGUCACAUGCUGUGCCAGACCUUCUUCUCCAUGAUUGACUGAGUCCUCUGAAACCAUCAGCCAAAGUCCAUCUUUCCUUCAGUAAGUUGAUUCUGUUGGGUAUUUGGUCAGUGUGAAGAGAAAAAUAAUGAAUACACAAGGGGAAAUUUACAGAGGACUUCCCCUCCUGGAUCCAGAGAAAACCUAGGACAUCACCAUGAUGAUCUAUGGUUUCUAAUUCUCGCAUUCAGAAGGCAGGGUGAUUUCAGUUUUGAAGGCAGUCUGGAUUAGAUAGGCGGCCCUGAUAACAAAGACACACAAACAACAACCAAAAGAAGGAGGAAGAACAAAGCUUUUGCCUUUUACCUCUACCUUUGCUUGCCUGCUGGGAUGCCAGUAAGCUCUUAGGGUACAUGGAGUGUUGUUAGCCAACUCUGGAGUCUGAGAUGACAGACAUUCCCAUGGGAAAUCAAUACACAGAGCAGGAAAGUGGGAGAUGUAUUCUAGAGGACCAACCUUCCCUGAAGCCAUGCCCCCUUAGACUCUUUAUGGGGAAAUAACGAAUAAUCUUUGUUCUUUUAUGAUAUUGAAGGCAAUCAAGCCUUGAGACUCGAGCAUGCUAAACUAUCAGUCUACCACUGAACUACACCCCCAGUCCAACAAUGAUUAAUCUUUAUGGCUUUCACUGUGUGUUGGGGAAAGUGUUUUCCUCAUGAUCUAUCACAGGCUAAGAGAACAACCCACUUCUGUCUUAUAUGUUCCUAUUUCUUAUGUUUUUUAAAGUGUAUUUUUGUUUUCAAAAACAAAAACAGUGUGGCAUGUACUGUAUGUACUACCUAAUGAUCAAAUUAGAGUAAUUAGCAUAUCUGUCCCCAUAGAUAUUCAGCACUUCUUUGUGCUAGGAGCAUUGAGGAUCUGCUAUACUAGCUGUUUUGAACUAUCCAUUAAGUGUCUCUAGAAUGCUUCCUGUUUCUUUAAAUGUGUUAAACUAAGUUCUUAAGAAAUGACACAUAUUUUUUACAUAUCUGAAAAAUCCAAAGAGCUAAGCAAAAGGUUACGGGAAAAAAAUGCAGUUCCUUACAAAAAUAACAGGCUACAACAAUAUUUGUUAGAUAUCAUGAGAACGUCAUUGGCUUUGAAAAACAUUGUAUGAUGUCUGGCAGUGUUGAUCUUGGAUGUGGUUAUCUCACUCUCUGCCCAAUGUGUGGAUUCCCACUGAGAGGAAGCCUCCUCCUUCCCCUCUUUCUGUUCCGAUGAUGCUAACAAUCCCUUUAUGACAGACACAGCGAAGAAUGCAUUUGGUUGAGAGACAAAUGGGGGAAUGCAUUCAAUUCCCAUAAGGACUUAUGAGUCACUCUAAAACACAAACUCCCUGCCUUGUGUCUGCAGUGAUUUGCUCUCACCUGUUUCCAGGAGUGUGUGCUUUAUGCCAACAGCAGCGGUCACCUCUGAGCGUCGGGCGCUGUUUGUCAAUAGACGUUUGGUGGUAGGAGGUUUUGAUCUGUGCCUUUUGAUCCAGCUUGGUAUUUUCAUGUAGUUUAGAUUAAUGAAACAUGAAGGAAUUUCAGCAUAAUGCAUGCAUCCCGUUUUGCUCUUUGAGGACUUGUUAAUUAUGUGCAUUAUCUUCCUAUAAGGAAACUAGAAUCACUACUCAGCUCUGUGCUUUAACUUUUUGCCCAGAGAUUCCGGUUGAUUCUUUCUCUGUUGCUGCUGCUGCUGCUGGUUUCUUUUGAAAAUUCUUGUAAUAAAACAGGGACAAGAACUUAGUCUUUGCUGCUGCCAAUAACAGAAAAUUCUUCAGCCCCGCCCCAUCCUUCAUCAUGGGGAAAAAGUGAUGCUGGCAAUGCCUGGGACUGAAGGCCAUGCUGCCUGGCUUUGUGGGGACAGAUGGUCAUUGCUCAUCAUGUUAGCAAGAAGCUUGAUGCUCACUUCUGGACAUCAGCUGCUCUCUGUGUCUAUUAAGUGAUAAUUUAGCUUCAGGUGGCACCUACCCUGGUGCUAUCUGUUUGGUUUCCUGCUUUUAUAAUGGAAAAUAUUUGGACAGUGGCACUUACCUUGCUGUCUUUCACUCUGAAACAAAGGCUUUCAGUAGAACAACUAAGACAGCCCCCAAAUAAGACUGCUUGUGACCCUGCUUUGCCAACAAGGUAUUCUGAAUUUAGAACCCCAAGAGACAAUCUUGCAAGUUCUCUGAAACAGAAUUCUUUUUAUAUAUAUAUAUAUAUAUGACUUAUAUGGAUUAACUAAAUUAGUCUCCUCAGCACCGUAUUUCCAUUUAAGGACAAUAUAAUUUAAGUACCGACAUGGGAAAAUGUCCAAGGAUAUAAGAAGCAAAGGGGAAGUAGCAGGACACUUUGCAUAAUAUAGUAAGUAUUGCCACAAAAAUACGUUAACAAAAGGUAAUAUAUUUGGUUCUUGUGUGCAUUUCCUAGUAGAUAACUGUGGAUCCAGAGUCAAAAUGAAGUGACAUUCAGUUUCAUGAAAAAUUUUGAGAGACAUUGAAAACAUAAACAAAGCAGAUACAACCUGUGAAUAUAAGGGUAAUCAGAGAACAUUCCUGAUAAUUGGAUUUCAUCACCAUGACCAAGUACCCAAGAUUUCUGCGGGGCCAGCACAGGAAAACCACCCGGAUCAGGGGACCCGCGUGGAGCUCUUCCCUCCUCCCGCUCACCCGCCUGCGCAGAGCUGCAGGUCUUGCUGUUGUCUAGGCUCAUCUCCAGCUCCUGGGCUCAACUGAUCCUCCUGCCUCAGCCUCCUCAUUAACUGCGACCCCAGGCAGGAGUCACAGCUCCUUUUGUGCCUCAAUAUCACCUUUGGCCAUUCAGUUGUUGAAUGAGAUGCUGUCUCCGUGGGAGUGGUUUUGCUGGGCAUUUUUAUUGUUUGCGUGGGACAGGAAAGUUGUAACUUCCUAUUUGCUGCUAUAUUCCAGUAUAUGGUAAGUAUCUUUGGAUGACAGAAAGAGUAGGGCAGAGAUGGUAGGCUGUGAACAGCAAGGGGCGGCACAAGGAAGAGACAGGGAAUGGUCAAGGGUACUCUGCUGAGGGCUCUGUGUAGAACAGGCUCCCCUGUUUCCACUUACGCUUCAAGCUUAUAGGUAAAGGCUAGAGAACUCCUACCUUACCCUAGGGUUCCGACUGUGCACACUUAUGUUAUUUGCUACAAGGAAACCAGCUGAACUGAACAAUAGCCAGGAAGUCAUCCUUUAGGUCUCACAGACAUGAAACCUAUUCUUUAGUGUAGCCAAGCAUACAAUGCCAUUUUGUGGUACCUUCUAUCUAACUUGCCUUCCCCUGUUGGUUGACUAUUGAUAAAUCAGCAGGAAACUCAGUUUCAGACUUAGACUUCCUCUUAGCAUGAAUUCGAAUGAGUACUCAUCCUUCUAGUUCCAGCUUCUUCAUAUGGAAAGUGGGGGAAAUUCAUUGCUCAACCAAGAAUGAUUGAUCCAUCAGGUGUAAUGCUGCAUGCCUUUAAUCCCAACACUCAGGAGGCAGAGGCAGGAGGAUGGGGGUGAGCUUGUGGCUGGCCUAGGCUCCAUAUUGAGAUUCUGUUUCAAAAACAAAACCUUCAAAGACAGAAAUAUUGAACACCUGUAACGUGGCGGUUGUUAAGCUAGAGACUGGGAAUUUAGAAUUCAAGAGGAACUUACAAUCAAAUGUGGGGAAAUAGAUACUAAGUGAGAAACAAAGAGAAUUCCAUGUAAUGGAAGUCUCACACUACAAGUCACCAACCAGUCAACGGAGUGGAAAAGGGAGAGAAGACAACAGUUCUCAAGCGAAUCUGCACUUGACAUGUCGCCCUCCUGUUACUUAGUAUCUAUAUUGAUUAGCAGAUCAACUGCUGACAUAGCGCAGAGCUCGCGUUCAAAUAGCCCUAAUAAAGUACUCUGGUGCUGUGUCCCAGAGCUCCUGUCCCACAUGCCACGUUCUCUCUCAGCAGCACAGGGAGAAGGUUAAGUGCACACAGUACACUAAACUACUUUUUAGAUUGAGAAAGAGUGUUCACUCUGCUCUUACUGCAGAAUGUUGUGAUUGUUCUCUUCUGUUGUUGUCCUUUCACAUUUAACAAUAAUUUGUAUAAAAAACAGAACUCUUUGAUAUUGUAACAAAUACUGAAAACACCCAACUUACAAGUAGAUUGAUUUGGGCUUCCCGUUUCAGAGAUUUCAAUAAGAGACGCUUCUGGAUUCAUAGUAUGUCAGCGCACCAUUUUGAUGGGAUGUAUGGUUGAGAUGCUUGCCUCAGUCAGAAUAUGAAAAAGAGAGGAAGUGAGACUGGGUCCCUGUGUGCCCUUCCGGGGUGCACCUUUAAGGACUUAAGACUUAGUAUAGUCCUAAAGUUCUUUCAGCCCUUCCUCUUACAGGUCCUCCCAAUGCCAUUAGCUCUGUGGACUGUGAAACAACGGUCCACCAAGUGGCCCUUUGGGAACAUCCCAGAUCCAAAUUUUAGCAGGAUCUUUUGCAAACCAGAAUGUCACAGCUUUUCUCCAGGUAAAGCACUUGGGGAAUGACUUGAGUUAUUAGCUCAACCAGCUGUUUUGCUUGGUUUUGUUUUUCUUCUUGUAACUCUACUUUAACUUAAAAAUGAUUGAUGGGGAAAUCACUGUUAGGAAGACUUGGAUAAUUUUUUCUCAAAAUAUAUAAAAGUAUCGAGCCUGCCAUUUUGAGAAAAAUAACUGACAAUAUUUGUUACCAAUAAUAAAGUUCAAGCUCCCAAGUAAAAGUUAAACUUCUGGGAAACUUCUAUCUUCCACUAUAACUUGGUAUGAGUUCCAGUGCUUUUUUGUUUCUUAUUUUUUGAUGAGGUCAGUGUUGACAUUCAUGCAUUUGAUUUUGACUGGGGGUAAUGAGAUGUGUCAACAUUUGAAAGAUCAGCAUAACUCAGCAAACUACUGUUUUCUAAAUAACCAGUGUGUGUUGCAAAAUCAGGAAUGGGUGAAAAGGCCACUCCAAGUGUCUGCCUGGCAAUAUAUUUUAAUAUCAUGGGCAGAAAACGUCAUAGACUUGAUUGAUUUUAGAUUUCACAUUGUCACCAGUGCCUUCAGAAACUUCUAUACUAAAGAAGAAUAUAUGUUAUUGUCUAGAAAGUCUAUUAACAUAUUACUUGUUUUUCUAACUACGUAAAUCUACAAGGUCAGAUUUUCUUCAGUGACUUCAACCAAAACAGUGUAUUUCAACAGGCUGAAUGGUAAAGGGGUUAUGGAACCCAGAUCCUUUCUCUCAAGCUGAACAUUAAAGAGAACUGCAAAACUACAAACCAGUGCCACUUAAAUAAUCUUUUAGAAAAAUGUAGUCUUUUUUUCAUAAAAAUGCAUGACUUAUCUCACCUUGCAAUGAAUUUUAUUGUUAUUUAAAUGAAUUAACAAAUUAAUGCUUUGCAUUCUUUAUAUGGAAAUGUUAUCAAAUAUAACCCACAAAAAUUUUAAAAAAACAAACAAACUUCUUUUUUAAGUAUAAAGGUCUUGAAUCAGGUUCUUCAGAAUACAAGAACCCUGAAAUAGGCUGUUCUCUGGAUGUCUCUUUCUGAGGCAAUGUCUGUGCUGAGGUCCAGAGGAAGAGUUUGCCAUGAAAGAAGAAGGCAAAGGGUUAAAGGUGGGAAAGAGCUUGUGUUUUAGGAAAAGAAAAGCCUGCUACACAGGUUUACAGAGAUUAUUAACUUAAAUGAAAAAAUGCACACGCUACUCUUUGGCGCAGUGCCUGGCACAUGGUGUGUGAUAAACUUGUGCUGAGAAUCGGAUUCUGUGGAGGUUGUACAGUCAUGGCUGGAGGCCUGCAGUGGGACACAUACAUUUGGGACUCGUCGGCAGAUCUCCUAGGCCAUUGGGUAAUGGACCACAUUUCUGUAUUCUUCAGGGUUUUUUCCAAAAAAUUAUGUUUCAAAGAGCCACCUAGAGUUAACUUCUAGGCAAAACAGUUUCCCAUGCCAGCUCCAAGUUCUGUCUUCUGUACACUGGUGAGAAUAAUCUGUGUCCACCAUAGGUUUUUAUGAUAAUCUGGGGAAAAAACACGUGAAUGCAAGCAGGUCAGCAAAUGCACAGAGUGCCCAGAACUGUGCUUGUACUGCCAGAGUGGCUCAAUAUGCAUCUACUCAAUGCACUGAGUUCAAGCAAACAUACUAACGAGCUGGGUGUGAUAGUAUAGGUCCACAAUCUCAGCACUCAGGAGGCUGAGGCAAGAGGGUCAUGAGUUCAAAGAAAGCCUGAGCUACACAGAGAGAGACCUAGUUUCAAACAACAAAGAUAAAUAGGCUAUUGUGUCCUGCUGAGUGAAUGAGUUAGAAAACACAACCUCAAGAAUCAAGAACCUUUCCAAGACUUCAAGCCUCCAAUGUCCAACUCAACAUAUAAUCUUGGACAAAGUUCCUGGGCACUUUGAGUGUUUUUUACUGCUUUCUGGAGCCUACAGGCAUACAGGCAUGAGAAGAGUCACUGCCCUUUAAGUGCAUAAAUCUGCUUCUAACAAAUUAAGGAAAAAUAUUUUUUAAUUUAUGUAGAUAUGUAAUUGUUUAUGUAUUUGCAUAUGCAUAUGGGUGUUCUCAGACCCAGAAGAGGAUGUCAUAUCCCUUAGGGCUAGAGUUAUAGGUGGUUGUGAGUUGCCUAGUGUGUUUGCUGAGAGCAGCAGAUGCUCUUAACCUCUGAACCAUUGUGCCUUCCAAGGGCACACCUCCCAUUAGGCUCUGCUUCCCAAGCAGAGAACUAAGUCUUUGAUGCAUGGGUCUUUGGGGAACCCAUGCUUGAAGAUCGAGCAGUGAGGAUCACAGGGCAGCUGAAUCAAAUUUUAUUGAGGUGAGGUUCAGCCAUUAUGAUUGACAUUUUUAAAUUUCUUCAGAUGAUUCCAAGGUCACCCACAGUUGACAACAACUAGCGUACAAGCUUUGUUGCUAGCCUGGACCUAGUCCGUUAUUGUAUCCAAGCACAAUUCUCACCUGUCCCCACCUUUGUUCAGCUUCCCAAUCCUUGUUUUCAUGAGUCAUCUUCUUUCAGAGGUAUUUUUACCAAAUUUAUCAAUGCAGCCUUGACUUGUUUUUUAUGGUAGGGUUUGGCCAUAUGACAUUGGGCUCUGUAGGGUCAGUGUUAAGAUGCAUUCUUUCCUUUCCUAAUGUAGGUCUCAGUAGCACUGCUCUCAAGCUCUCAUGACCACUGCUACUUAAGACACAGAAGGUCAUGUUUGUUCCUAGGUUCUCAAGACCAAGCACCCACUGUUCUAACCCCUGAAUUUACCGUCACUCCAUUGCCUAUGCUCAUGUUCUACAGCAAAGAAUGGUGGUGUAUACCUACAGUCCAAGCUUCUCUGGAGGAUGAGAGCCUUCAACCAGAAACUGAUUGAACCAGGGGCAGAGAUCCACAACCAAGAACCAGUCCAAGAUCCCGGAAUCCAAUCUGAAGAGAGGGAGGAGGGAACAUAUGAGCAAGGGAGGUCAAGACCAUGAUGGAGAAAUCUACAGAAACAGCUGAACCAAGCUCAUGGAAACUCAAAAACUAUAGACUGCCAGCUGUGGAGCCUCCAUGGGACUGAACCAGGCCCUCUGUAUGUGGGAGACAGUUGUGAAACUUGGACUAUCUGAGAGGCUCCUGGCAGUAGCACCAGGAUCUGUCCCUGGUACAUGAGCUAGCUUUUUUGGAGCCCAUUCCCUAUGGUAGGAUGCCAUGCUCAGGCUUAAUGCAUGGGAGAGGGGCUUGGUCCUGCUCCAUCUUAGUGUGCCAGACUUUGUCGAAUCCUCAUGGAAGCCCUUAUCCUUUGGGAGGAGUGAA